CCUGGGCGAUCCGACCGCGUGUCCCGCUGCCGGGCCACGGCAGCAACCCGAUCGUCGGCGGCUCGCCCGACGU
rnacentral:sRNA from 1 species